rnacentral:tRNA from 1 species
GGGGUUGUGGCUCAGUGGUAGAGCACUUGCCUAGCAUGCCUGAGGCACAGGGCUUGAUCCCCUGCACCACA